rnacentral:rRNA from 1 species
GAUGAACGCUAGCUACAGGCUUAACACAUGCAAGUCGAGGGGAAACGAUAUUGGAAGCUUGCUUCUGAUAGGCGUCGACCGGCGCACGGGUGAGUAACGCGUAUCCAACCUGCCCAUCACUUGGGGAUAACCUUGUGAAAGUAAGACUAAUACCCAAUGACGUCUCUAGAGGACAUCUGAAAGAGAUUAAAGAUUUAUCGGUGAUGGAUGGGGAUGCGUCUGAUUAGCUUGUUGGCGGGGUAACGCCCACAAGGCGACGAUCAGUAGGGUCUGAGAGGAAGGUCCCCCANAUUGGAACUGAGACACGGUCCAAAAUCCUACGGGA